CCCAUUGCAUGGACAAGGAGCUGUGGGUUAUACUCAGGAUUGGUUUCCCCACAUGGCAGGCUAGCCUGGCCAUUCUACAGUCUGCCCAGAGCUGCAGCGUAAAGAGGCAUUAGACGGUACAUAUUGUUGAUUUCCAGGAAGUUACACUGCCCUACUUUAAGGUGAUGCUCAUUAGUCUGCAAACCUGGAUGCUGAAGAAAUCCAUGUCAUAGAAGGACAGAAGUCUUGUAUCCUGUGCCAACUCUCAUUGUUUGGUGGUGAUUGCCUGGAGUGCUGGGGCUAGUCUGGGUUCUGCAGGAAAAAAGGGUCUUGCUGUGUCCCUAGGCUGGAGUGCAGUGGUGCAGUCUCAAUUAUGCCAGAUGGCUCUGAGGUCCAAGUAAAAGAUAAUAUUUGCAACCAACUCACUGGAGUUGACCAUCAAAACUCUUUUCCAGGUGGAAAAGCACCCUGAAUCCAGCUUCCUGCUAUGAAUGAAUACUGAGCUUGGGUUGGUGGAAAUUGAUUUUCGAGAUAAAGAAUCCAGCCAGGACUGUGAAGCCCCAGGGAAUGGCUGCACUUCAAGUCAGAAGGAGCCUGGGUCCCUGAAUCAUCAUGUGGAAGGCUCUCCACCCAGUUCAAUGGUGCAAUGGACCACAAGCAGGAACUUAAUUUAGAAUGUGCUUAUUUUGUUAGAUUUUGUAAUUAAAAAAUGGAUCCCACUCUGACUGAAUCAGAGAUGUUGAAGUCAUUGAUCUGGGAGGGUAUGUUCCUGGGAGUGGGUGGCUGAGGUGAGAUUUCAAACAAGGUUGUUGAGGAAGAGGAGUUCAAGUGACUGAGAGGACAUAUUGUUGGAUAAAUUGUGCGUGCGUGUGUGUGUGUGUGUGUGUGUGUGUUGAAAUCACCAAGAAUAGGGAAAGAAGUGUAUAAGAGAGUGUGGCAGUGAGCCCAGAGCUAAAAGAAAUCAUGAGCAGGGAGUAAUUCACGAGCAGAAAGUAGAAGCAACGAGAGGCAGUUAAUGAGAGAAGCAGCUGAGGGAUUUUAGCAAGGGAUGGG
rnacentral:lncRNA from 10 species